GGAGACAUUAUUGCUCUUGUUUUAUUCUACUUUUAUUUUUCUCUCCUCUGCAUGGAGCCUUGACUUCAAUUUCUAUAUCAGAUAGAAUUUUUGUGUACCCAAUUUCAACUGGGAGAAAUCUUCUUCAGGCUAAGGAUGCUUGUCCUGUUAGCUUUGAGUUUCAGAACUACACUAUCAUCACUAGCCAAUGCAAGCCACCACGAUACCCAGGCAAACAAUGUUGCGAUGCUUUUUUACAGUUUGCUUGUCCUUUCGUCGAAAGUCUGAAUAAUCAAUCAAAUGACUGUAUCUCUGUAAUGCACGGUUACAUCAAUCAGUAUGGACAUUACCCAACUGGUCUUUUUGCCAGUGUGUGCAAAGGUACACAGCAAGGUCUGCCUUGUCCUGCAUUAGCACCAUCACAAUCAGCUGAUCGCGAUGAUACUAGUAGCAGCCAGAUAAACUGUAAACUAUCACUAGUUUACAGUUUUGCCACAACUUUUAUGGGGAUCUUGAUGUUGAUGUUGCUUUUCUGAUAUUUAUAUCACAAGAGAACAGGUUUU
rnacentral:misc_RNA from 1 species